UGCCAGCAGCCGCGGUAACACGGGGGGCGCAAGCGUUAUUCGGAAUUAUUGGGCGUAAAGGGCGCGCAGGCGGUCUUGUCCGUCAGAUGUGAAAGCCCGGGGCUCAACCCCGGACGUGCAUUUGAAACAGCAAGGCUUGAGUACGGGAGAGGAAAGCGGAAUUCCUGGUGUAGAGGUGAAAUUCGUAGAUAUCAGGAGGAACACCGAUGGCGAAGGCGACCAUCUGGGACGGAACUGACGCUGAUGAACGAAGGCUAGGGUAUCAAACGGGAUUAGAUA
rnacentral:rRNA from 1 species